UAACCCACCUGGUUCUGCUGCCCCCCCCCUUCUUGGUCCCAUCAUUCAGCAGCGUAACCAUGGGUUACGUGAUUAAUAACCUACCUAACUGUAGCCGUUGUAUAGAUUACAAACACCUUAUCCUAUACUGAUCCUUCUUUGUUGUGACACGUCCGUAACCCUCCAUGCCCUAUCCAUGAUCACACCUUAAUUAGGCACCAUAUCAUCAUCCCAUUCUGUUGAUGAUGCUGUCUAUGACACUUUACUCAUCAUAAUGAACUGUGCUGUACAUUAUAAGAACACCUUUCGGUAUCGAGACACACAACAGUAAGUGAUUGCGGUUGAGUUGUACUGUUUUUCAGUCACAAAUUUCAAUCAGAGAAAUGUGAUAAUCAUUAUUUAAAUUGUUGAUGUAUAAACAUAAUUCAUGUUCCCAAUAUUUUUUACUGUAACGUGUGAAUAUGGAUGCGUUCAAGGUUUGUGUAUGAUAGAUAAAAACAGGUCUGACAGACAAGAAUGUGGUCUGAAUCCCUGUGUGGUACAGGUAUAUACAAAUUGUACUGUAAUUCUCCUGCUAAGUGCCCUGCCCUUAGUGCCCUGUCCAUUUUCUUUCUGAGAAUUUCAUCGCUUCACUUAUUCAAAUCACUGUAAGAAGUGUUACGCUUCACGUUUUUCUUUCUUUUUUUCAAACUUGUGGAAGGCUCUGUAAUCAUUCUUAUGAAUGUAUUCAAAAAUCAGGCCCAGCCCCUGUUUUCAUCAGAAUUCCUUAUCUUAAGAAAAUCCCUGCACUUAAAAUUUUCCCAAAGAAAGCAUAAUUGGACUUAAGGAAAAAAAUACAAAAAAUGUCGUUAGGAACUUAUGGAAAAUUUAAAGGAAUAUUGAUGAAACUGGGGUGAUAGCACUUAAUAAAUAUAGUAUUGUGAUCAAGCUAGGCCAAAUAUUUCAGAACCAACCUUAGUACGUACCUGUUAAUUAAAAAAUAAAAUACAAUUUGAAAAUAUUUAGAACAAUACUGUAUAUAUAAAGUAAAUCAUACAGGAUAUCUGAAAAAUAUUUGUAGACAAUUUUUGAGAGAUUUGUUAUUAAAACGCUGUUAUUGUCAAGAUGCUAUUUAAGUAAGUUGUAUGCGUGUGCUUUUUUUUUCUUAACAUGGGUCGUAUGUAAAUACUGAGAGAGAAAAACCUGUUGUCAUUCAGACUACUUGAUUGACAGGUAGUCCAUUGAUUUGAGUUUGUGCUUGAUUAAAAUGCCCUUAAUAGAUAAGGUUGUUUAUGUGGGGAAACGAUAUUUGAACAAAGUCUUUCAGUUUGGCUAUUGCGUAUGUGCAUGUAGUGUAAGGUUGUUGCUAAUCCAUCGUUGAUGUUGAUCAACAUUACGGAAUCGUACUGGGGCCAGUUUACACAUCCAGUUUCCAUUUUGAAAAGUCAUUCAUGCAUGAGUAGAAAUCGCGUAGAGAUAACUUUUGUAAUGUCAUUUAGCUUCAUAAUUUGUAUAUCUGUAAACAUUGUCCCAUGAUCAAAUCAUUUCGCAGAUUGUGAUGUACAAUUGUUAUUCCAUGUUGUCUGUACCGAGAUGUUUAUAACCUUUUUGUAGACAGUGCUACUUAUGUAGCCUUAGUUUAUACAUGUAUACACAUUUUUGCCAAUGCCUUUCUCCAUUUUUACCUGUGGAAAGUAUGUGUUUCAUUAUAUGUUAACUCCAGAGCCCUCCACAGAUUUAUUUUAUUGCCAGGUAUCACAGACUCUUAAUUUGAAAACUUAUCUAAAGAUUUCAACAUGUGCCCUGAGCCCUGAUCACUCUGCUGCUACGAGAAGCUAAUAUGAUUCUCUUUCAAGACUUUUACUUGGAUAACUGAAUCCCAUCUUCCUCUUCAUCAACCCAUCAGCCCAGUUACAUGUUUCAGUGUGCUGUUUAAACUGAAAUGUUAGCUUUAGAACCACAGAUUUUUGCUGAUAGAUCCUGCUUGUCUCUUUAUUUGCUGGGAUGCCGUCGAGUAACCACCGAGAACUAAGCCAGCAAUUGAACGGGUGUACACCAGAUCGCUCAAUGAUCAGGCAAUUUGAACAUGAUCAUUUCGCAAAUAUUUGUCACUUGUUUUAUAUCAGUUAGCGAGAAUAAAAUGACCUUAAUGUCCAUUUCAUAAAAGAUUUAUGAGACUUUGUCACAAUUUUUCAGUUAAGCUUAUGUACCUACUUCCUCUAUCCCUCUAAGCCACCCAAGGUUUUGGCUAGUAGUAUGCUUUACCUGUUUGGUAUAAGUUUGUUAUCGGACCAUUUGAUGAAACAAGUAGCUUGCUCAGUUCAUUCAAAUUAAUGCAAAAACCCUUUUAAGGCUUCCAUAUAGUGAGUAGGAUAUGAUUGUGAAAUAUAACUCACAGGUUUCGGCAUUAUUGAGUUCUCAGUAGAGUUGACAUAUAACUCACAGGUUUCUGCAUUAUUGAGUUCUCAGUAGAGUUGACAUAUAACUCACAGGUUUCUGCAUUAUUGAGUUCUAAGUAGAGUUGACAUUACUCACAGGUUUCGGCGUUAUUGAGUUCUCAGUAGAGUUGACAUAACUCACAGGUUUCUGCAUUAUUGAGUUCUCAGUAGAGUUGACAUAACUCACAGGUUUCUGCAUUAUUGAGUUCUCAGUAGAGUUGACAUAACUCACAGGUUUCUGUAUUAUUGAGUUCUCAGUAGAGUUGACAUAUAACUCACAGGUUUCUGCAUUAUUGAGUUCUCAGUAGAGUUGACAUAUAACUCACAGGUUUCUACAUUAUUGAGUUCUUAGUAGAGUUGAUCAUGUACCAAGGAUUGAUAAACUAUAAAGUCAACGAUGAGAAAGGUCAAAUCAAAUCGAUGUUGUGACGUAAACUGACGUGUUGUAUUCAUAUGUUAUAAACAUCUGUUGUAAUCCUAUGUUAAUUGUAAAAGUUGUGACUGUGUGGUAAAGUUUUGUUGUGUUUUAAACACUCUGUCAUUGGAAAUCCUUUUCCACUGUCAUGUGUUUCUUUUUCAUGUUUUUUCAUGUUAAUUCAUAAACACUUGGAUCUAAAUUGGAGCUCUGAAUGAUAACCAUGAAUUUGUGUAGAUAUUGUUGUUGAAAUAUUUGGCGCCUUGUCGUAGACCUAUAUGUUGUAUAUUAGACGAAGUGCCUUUUACGAUCAGUACCUCUCACUGUAUCACUACACACGUAAUAUCAUUUGUACCCCAUCACAGGCCCAGAAUAGUGUAUAUAUCAUAUAGCCUAAAUCUUAGGCUAGAAUAUUCAGUUACCAUGGAGAUAGUAGAAUGUUCGCUAAAUAUGUAGAAAUUGUCUAGUUAUUCGAUUGAGAGAUUUUUUUUUUCUGAUUGUAAUGAAAUGAUUGAUGAAAACAGUAUGUUUUUGUUUCCACUUGUAACAUUUUACCAUAAUUUAUUUUUUGUAGGGUUUUUUUAUGUAACAUAUAAGCUGCAUAAUGAAUACAGUUAGUACAUAAAUAUAUAGUUAUAUAAAUAAGUGUAUUGUGUAGUCCAAUUACAGCACCACAAGGAGGGAUAGGGUGUCACAUUCAGUCAAACACUAGUGAUAUCAUUUAUCAUAACAAAAAUUGUAUGCUGGUUAGUCCUUUGGCUAGACACUUCGUUAUUCAUUUUUGGAGGCCAACCCAUCGCUAUCUCCCAAUAUGGUGUGGCCCCUUCUGACCAAGUGUGACCCUUUUGUUCAAAUCUUAUCCUUCCAGAUAAAUCUUGCUGCUCUAGAUCUAGUCUAGCCCCCUCAGAUCAAGUUGGCCUUAUGAACAAUCUGACCUGUCUAAAUUAAGUCUGGCCCCCUACAGAUCAAGUUGGGACACCAAAUGAUCAUGUGCGACCCAUCAGAUCAAGUCUGGCCUUUCCAGAUUAAGUCUGACACCUGUGAUCAAGUCUGGCCUUUCCAGAUCAAGUUUUGCAACUUUGAUCAAGUCUGACCUGUCCAGAUCAAGUCUGACACCUCUGAUCAAGUCAAACCACUCUUGGUGGUGUGUUGUACAUGUACUCUAUAAUGAAAUAAUAUACUUCAAUAAAAUCUCCCAACUCUUUUAUAAUAAAUUAUGAGUGAUGAUAUUCUGCAAAUAGUAAAUGCCCCAUCCGUAACAUUUGAGAGUUGAAUCUUUUCACCAAAAUUGGCAAACAGAAAUUUAUACAAGGACUUUCAUAAGCAUUUUGUAAAAUUCUACAUUCAGUCUAGAUUUCCACCAUUGCUAUGAUCCAAAGGGUGUAUAAGAUGGGAUAUGGUGUAUCUUUUACAGCCAUAACUUACUCACUGGUGUUCUUUCUUGUAUCAUCUUGUACAUAAAUAUCUACUGGUAGACACAAUUUUACACACAACAUUAUCACAUAUUGGGGUUACAACUCCAAAAUAUAUACCGGUAAUUUAUGUAUAUUUGACUCUCAUUACAAUUUUCCAAUGAAUCCAUUUUUCAGUAUUUUCACUCCUGUUUUAAUCAUAUGUACAGUAUUGAAUAUCAAGUUUUGAAAAAAAAAUUCCUUUACUUAUGCUUAAUGUGUUCUUAAAUUAAUUUUAUAAGUUUUAUUCCAAACAGUUUUAUAAUUAGGGUAUGUCUUCCACCUCUCUUCAGUUCUACUUCCUGUGAAACUGAUUAGAAUAUUUUUAUGUUGAGCAAACAUCUCCAUUAAGGAUACUGUGUUAUUACCAUUAUUUUUCCUUGGCCAAUGACCACCAAACUCUAAUGAUAUCAGUGUGCAUGAAAUAUUUUCUAAACCCAAAUAAAUUGCCGCACAGAAUGGUCAAAGUUAAAAGUAUUAAUGAAAAGUUCUUUCUUUUUUCCAAAGCAAAACUGAUAUAUUAAUUCAGACAUGCCGUAUUCAACCUAAUAAGCACAUUUGCCCCUCUAACCACAACCACUCCUUUUUUCAGGAAAAGAAGACGGAUGUGCCAAUUUAAUAUAGAAAGUUUCUAACCUCACUGAUCUGCAAAUAUAAUCUUCAGCCUUUUAACCAAAGACUCUUGAUUGUUUUCACUACAUAAAUGUAUAUCAAUGAAAAAAAAAAAAAAUAAAAAAAUUUCCACCCAUAUUUCACAAAAAUUUUAGAAAUUUUUCUCUGAACAUGGUUUGAUUAUACUCGCCCCUUUUGUGGUUUUGUAAGUGUAGUGUGCUUAUUAGUUCGAAUAUGUUAUGUAUGUUGUGCAAAAAUAGAAUAAAAAUUAUUCUGCGUGCUCUUUUUAGGACAUAUACUUCGAUGUUACCAUUAUUCCUCCAACAGUAAGCCUUUGUACACUCCAUUUUCGACAUUUUUUACUGAACUGCUAUAGAUUCAUUGCUAUUCAUUACCCCCAUAUUGACCGUAAAUUUGAGUAAGAUAUGUGUUGACCCCUUGUGCUUAUCGCAGGAGAUAUAUGGUAGUGUCAGAAUGGGAGGUCAAAGGUCAUAUUGGUUUAUUUUAUUUUUUUAUUUUUUUUUAAUGAAAGCUGAUGGGCAUUUCAGAAUUCAUUUCGGAAUUCAUCAGUGAAGUGAAAAAGGACUAUAGUAAUUAAGAAGAUACAUGUAUGGUAUUUAAAAAAAAAAUUGGCACUUACAGCUGUGCAAGGGCAGCAUGCAUAAUUAUAUUCCUGCUCAAUAAAAGUUCAUUGAAUACAUGUAUUUAUUUGUGAUAUACCAAAGAUUAUCCUUAUAAGUAUUUCACUGCCGAUAAAGGUAAAUAGUUCACUGUGGAAAACCAGUUUGGUUUAACAGAUUGGAGAAAGUUAUGUUGUCAUAUCAAUAAAUACAUAAAUAAAAUGGGUAAAUUAAUAAUAGGCUAAGGUUAAUUCCGAAAGUGUAAACUUUGAAAUUAAUCAAUUUAUGGAUUAAUCUGAUUAACUAAAUUUCUCUUUAAAGGUAGCAGUCCAUUAAGUUAUACUUAAAAAGAUAUAAAAAAAAAUUUAAACAUAUUUAUUAAGCACUAUUAGUUUUAGGAAAGCAUUACCCAUUCAUUUCAGAAGAUCUUUUUAGUAUUUUAUUUUGUAAAACAUAUUUUAGUUAUUAGAUAUUUAUGGAUUUUCUGUGCCAAAUUGUGCCACAUAGACCUUUAUCAUUUUAACUAGAAAUUAUUUUUUGUUGAAGAAGAGCAUUCACACCCUUUAGAUAUCAUAUUUAUCUUGUUUUUAAUCAUUCAGAUAUUUAUUAAGUAAUCUGGUCCAUGAGAACCAGAUAAAAAAAGACUGAUGUCAGAUUAAAUGGGAAGAUAAUUAAUUAUCAUAACAAAUGGAGGACAGCUAUCCUAAUGACAAUUAUAAAGUGUGAUCUUGUCUGGUCUUUUUGAUAAAGUGGCGGAUCAAGAGACAAGUUGCUCGAGAUUCAAAAAUAGGGGAAAUGUUGUAUCAUUAUAAUACAUAUAACAGGCCCGUUACCGAGUGAAUAUGCCUGCGUAAUAUUUUUGCAUAUAUGAUCAGUGUUAUAUACCCUGGAGCGAUUUGAUUGGCUGCUCCAAUAACAAAUUCAUCGUGAUGUCAUAAUAUGAAACAUGAUGCAUCGUCAUGAAUUGUGUAUGCACAAAAAAAUGGCUGGCUCUGUUUGAUUUAGUGUUCCAUAUUUUUACUAUAGAACCUGUCAAAAUGAAUUUUUAGUAAUGUGAUGAAAAAUAUCUUCAACUUGUUUUCAUUUCAUAUGAGAUUUUAAGAAACUUGCUUCAAAAUUUUAGUCCUUGCUCACCAAGGCUCACAAAAAUAGAAAUAUCUACGACUCGUUUCAUAAAAUCUUGUAUGAAAUGAAUCCUGUAUGUAGAAUCUAUUUAAGUGGUAUUGGGAAGAGGGAUGGAUCUCCUGAAGCCACAGAAUCUCUUUAGAUCCGCCACAGAGAUGCAGGCUAUUUUGAUAAUGGUAUUUUAAAUUUGAUUGGACAAUGACUUUUUGGACCAGUUGUUAGUGACGUACAUGUAGUAGUGUUUUUGAUGGAGAACAGCGAGUGUGAAUCUGACUUGAUGUGCAUUAUACACCAAAUAUGAUGUUUUUAUAGCAAUUGACUGAAAUAUACUUUGCCAUGCAAAGACAGUAUCAGAUUACAUGUAUUCUCAAUAAACUGGAAACAAUA